GAUUGGAAAGCGAAAUGAUCGCAUUUAGUUUCGACCUAAACCUUGGUAAACCUGCCUCCAAUCU
rnacentral:tRNA from 1 species